GUCAGGAUGGUCAAGCGGUCUAAGGCGCUGCGUUCAGGUCGCAGUCCACUUGUGUGGGCGUGGGUUUUAAUCCUUCUUCUGACA